GCUUCCAAAUUCUUCACGGACUUGUGCCCGGCAGUCCCCUGCGGCAACGUUAGGGUCGACAGCCGCGCAGCUCGAUAACAGCAUGGAGCCAUCAACGUGUUAUGAUGUCAAUCAUCCUAUCGACAGGUCCUAGAACGACAAGGCGCUAUAUUCCAACCCUCUUUUCCGAGGCCGUCGGUCCGUGAGGUUGGGGAAAACCAUGGCCUGCCUACAUAC
rnacentral:sRNA from 1 species